rnacentral:rRNA from 1 species
GACGAACGCUGGCGGCGUGCCUAAUACAUGCAAGUCGAGCGGACGAAUCGAAAGCUUGCUUUUGAUUCGUUAGCGGCGGACGGGUGAGUAACACGUGGGCAACCUGCCCUGUAGACGGGGAUAACACCGAGAAAUCGGUGCUAAUACCGGAUAACACGAAAUGUCGCAUGACGUUUCGUUGAAAGACGGCGCAAGCUGCCGCUACAGGAUGGGCCCGCGGCGCAUUAGCUAGUUGGUGAGGUAACGGCUCACCAAGGCGACGAUACGUAGCCGACCUGAGAGGGUGAUCGGCCACACGGGGACUGAGACACGGCCCAGACUCCUACGGGAGGCAGCAGUAGGGAAUCUUCCGCAAUGGACGAAAGUCUGACGGAGCAACGCCGCGUGAGCGAAGAAGGCCUUCGGGUCGUAAAGCUCUGUUGUUAGGGAAGAACAAGUAACGCAGUAACUGGCGUUACCGUGACGGUACCUAACGAGAAAGCCACGGCUAACUACGUG